UCCCAUGUAGCUCAGUUGGUAGAGCAUGGUGUUUGCAACACCAGGGUUGUGGGUUCGAUUCCCACGGGGAA
rnacentral:tRNA from 1 species